GAAGGAAGGAAGAAGUCAUGCUAACUAGAUCUCUUUUACAAAAGAAACUCAUUACCUGGAAAAUUAAAAGAAACUGGUAUGCGGAUGCUAAGAGACUAAAGGUUGAGGGGCUGUCGAUGGACGCUGCCCAGUGAAAUGACUAUCGCCGGGCCUGGUGGGCAGCAGUUGCCAACCCACCGCGGACAAUCCCAGGCCCGUGGAGUGCAUGCAGGUUUGACAUAAGCCAAACCCCUGCUGUCCGGCUCUUUACACUGACCCUGCCAAUGCAACAAACGCGCAGACCCCUCUCCGCGCGGUGAGGAGCAGAGUUGCCGCCGCCGUUCAGCGCUUCCCGGGAAAUGCGCGUCCGGGGGAGGCUCAGUUCUCUUCCAGAGGUUUGAUAUCCUGUCUUAGCUGGGGCUGGGCAGGUUCAUGGUGUGAUCCAAAGCUGAGCAUCACCUACACAGAGCGCUAGUUUACAGCAAGAACUGACUCCGGGGUACUCUCCAGUUCCAUGCCUAUGAUGUAGUCAUCAGAGUUGCAAAGGAACAAGAGGAUUCAUCUGACUUAACUGGUGAUGGCUCCCUUCCCCAUUUAUUAUGUCAUUCCUAAAGCUUCCCUCCUACCGGGCUCAGUGAGAGCGAUGGAAGAGACACCCACCUCAGAGCUCUCUCUUUGAGGACCACUUCAUUUACCACUCACGAAAUCAGCUCGGCAAAAGAGGGAGGCCCUCUGAGGAGGAAUUCGGAAGCCCUGCAAGGAAGUUUUGACUUCACUUUUGUCCCCAGGAGCAUGGCAAGGAAAAACUCCCACCUCGACUCCCAGGAGCUCUGUGAAAAAAUUACUGAGACCCUAAGAUGCUGUGAAUUGGGAAAGUUUGGGAACCUCAAGAUUAGAGCUAUACAAACUGUCUCAAAGGGCAAAGGUGGAUUUUAAUGGCUUAAGCUCAAUGUCAUUGGAACCUCAAUCAUGAAUUUGGCUUACAUGUCCAGUGCCAUUGCUGGGUCUCCUUUCUAUCAUUGGUAAGGAAACUCAUGAGAUUCUGCAUAACCUUUGGACGGCAUCCUCCUGUGGACACUUCCUCUCCUGCAAUAAUUUUGUUAUUAUCAAGAUUCUGUUCAGAAACUUCAGACUUAGGUAAUAAGAGAGUACCACCUGAGGGGGGCAAUCUCCCACCUAGAACAAUAAGAUCAUGGAAUUGUGGGGAACCCUUGGUAAUCAUUUAGUUUAAUUUCUCAAGCGAAGAGGACAUCCUUUCUGUACCACCUCUGACAGAUACUAGUAGCUAAUGUUUAUUGAGCAUAGACCAGUUACUGUCUAAAGAACAUUGAUACAGAUGAACCCAUUGAAUCCUUUGUAACCAUAUGGGUACAGUUACCAUCAUGCAUCUUUCAUAGAUGGAGAAAUAGUGCAAUGCCUGUCUAAGUCAUACAAGUAAUAAGGAGCACAGUCAAGAUUUGAACCCAUUGUCAGGCCAUUGUCAGAACCAGAGCUUUUAGCCACCGUGCUAUGCUAUGCUACCUUUGUGGUUAGCCAACAUUUAUGUGGAGACUUCCAAGAGUAGGAAUUCACUCCACUGUGAACUGGAUACUAGCCAUUUUUCCUAGUUCCAGCCUCUAAAACUAUAUAGAAUAGCCUGCUCCAACUUCCAUAGACAGUCAUUCAAAUAUUUUCAAAGACUAAGAGUAAUUUUUUUCUGUUCAUAAAAAUAACAGAUGCUCAUUGUAGAAAACUUGGAAAAGUUCAGAAGAGUAUAAAGAAAAUAAGAAUCCUUGAUAACCAAGGAGAAAAUAAAUGUUAACUGCCAACAAUCUAUUAGCGUUUUGUUGUUGUUUAUAAUAUCUAUAUUUCAUUAAGGGCCCAUGUAAAACCUGUGUCCAGCCAAGACACCUAGUUCUCUGUCACAUGACCUUCCAUCAAGCCAGAUUUUUUUCCUUUAUAUAAAAUCCUAAAUGUAA